UGGUCGCAAGACUACACGUUAUGAUAUCUGAGGGAAUCGUCGGUCCAAUUGGGGGAGCAUAUCUUUUAAUUUGAUACUACGCAGAAAUCUUACUUGUAUUCGGUGU
rnacentral:rRNA from 16 species